GUUCAAGGACUCGUACCGCGACACCGCCAACCUCACCUCCAACGGGAGCCCCGUGCACAGGCUCAUCGAGCAGGGCGAGGCCGGAGAUGUCUGUGCGGUGAUGUCCCUGGGGUGGCGCCACUGUGCCCGACGCUUGCCCUGAUCGCCGCAGUGGUGCUUCGGUGGCUUCCAGACCCUCUCCUGGAUGUGGUGAUGGUCACACCACAACUGUGGUGUGGCUGAGCCUCCGCUACAGCUACAACCUGCCUCUGGUGCCCAGUUUGUGCUCGCUACCGAAGGAGCUCCAUGUUGAAGAAGAUUGAAGAGCACCAGGGUUAACACCAGGGCAGCUUGUAGAGCUUGUAUAUGUAUAGAGCUUGUAAAUGUAUCACGUGUAGAGCUUGUAGAGCUUGUAUAUGUUAGAGCUUAUUAUGUGUAGAGCUUGUAAAGUAUAUGUUAUUUGUACAAUA